GUUGCCCAGAAUAGAAUUUUAGUUCAACUUUAAACUUGCCUACAAAACUCAAAAAUUUUAAUGCAAGUUUAAAAUAUAUUCUAAAAAGGUACAGCUUUUUAGAAUCAAGGAUACAACCUUACUUAGAGAGUAAAUACUGAUUAAAUCAUAGUAGGCCUAGAAGCAGCCAUCAAUUAAGAAAGCGUUUAAGCUCAACACCUAUAUCAACCUAAUACCAAAAAUAUCCAAUUAACUCCUAAUAUAAUAACUGGGCUAAUCUAUUUAAAUAUAGAAGCAACAAUGCUAAUAUGAGUAACGAGAAGUACUUCUCCAACGCAUAAGCUUAUAACAGCAACGGAUAACCACUGAUAGUUAACAACAACGUAGAAAUAAUCCAACAAUAAAACACCUACCAAACCAAUUGUUAAUCCAACACAGGUAUGCGACUAAGGAAAGAUUAAAAGAAGUAAAAGGAACUCGGCAAACACAAACCCCGCCUGUUUACCAAAAACAUCACCUCCAGCAUUCCCAGUAUUGGAGGCACUGCCUGCCCGGUGACAUCAGUUAAACGGCCGCGGUAUUCUG
rnacentral:rRNA from 1 species